rnacentral:rRNA from 1 species
GUGGGGAAUAUUGGACAAUGGGCGCAAGCCUGAUCCAGCCAUGCCGCGUGUGUGAAGAAGGCCUUUUGGUUGUAAAGCACUUUAAGCGAGGAGGAGGCUCCUUUAGUUAAUACCUAAAGAGAGUGGACGUUACUCGCAGAAUAAGCACCGGCUAACUCUGUGCCAGCAGCCGCGGUAAUGCAGAGGGUGCAAGCGUUAAUCGGAUUUACUGGGCGUAAAGCGCGCGUAGGUGGCCAAUUAAGUCAAAUGUGAAAUCCCCGAGCUUAACUUGGGAAUUGCAUUCGAUACUGGUUGGCUAGAGUAUGGGGGAGGAUGGUAGAAUUCCAGGUGUAGCGGUGAAAUGCGUAGAGAUCUGGAGGAAUACCGAUGGCGAAGGCAGCCAUCUGGCCUAAUACUGACACUGAGGUGCGAAAGCAUGGGGAGCAAACAGGAUUAGAUACCCGUGUAGUCC